CGAGUGUAACGUUAGCGGCGAACGGGUGAGUAACGCGUGGGUAACGUACCCCGAACACAAGUAUAGCUAGCCGAAAGGUUAGGUAAUACUCGAUGAAGCCAUUCCUGGGCAUCUUGGAAUGGUCAAAGGGCGACCUCUAUUUAUAAGUUGUCGGUUUGGGAUCGGCCCGCGUCAUAUCAGCUUGUUGGUAAGGUAACGGCUUACCAAGGCUAAGACGUGUAGCUGGUCUGAGAGGAUGAUCAGCCACAUCGGGACUGAGACACUGCCCGGACCUCCACGGAGGGCUGCAGCAACGAAUCAUCCGCAAUGCGCGAAAGCGUGACGGUGCGACGCCGCGUGCGGGACGAAGCCCCUAGGGGUGUAAACCGCUGUCAGGGGAAACCACACCGAUAGGGCAAAUAGUCCUUGAGGUAGAGGGAACCCAGAGGAAGCCACGGCUAACUCUGUGCCAGCAGCCGCGGUAAGACAGAGGUGGCUAGCGUUGCUCGGAAUCACUGGGCUUAAAGGGUGCGUAGGCGGCUUAUCAAGCAUUAUGUGAAAGCCCUCGGCUCAACUGAGGAAUUGCAUAAUGAACUGGUAAGCUUGAGGUGCGUCGGGGCCGGAAGAACUCUGGGUGGAGCGGUGAUAUGCGUAGAUAUCCAGGGGAAUGCCAGUGGCGAAGGCGUCCGGCUAGGCGCAAUCUGACGCUAAGGCACGAAAGCGUGGGUAGCGAACGGGAUUAGAUACCCCGGUAGUCCACGCUGUAAACGUUGUGCACUGGUUUCGGGAACCUCUGACGGUUUCCGGAGCGUAGAAAAAUCGUUAAGUGCACCGCCUGGGGACUACGGCCGCAAGGCUAAAACUCAAAGGAAUUGACGGGGGCUCACACAGGCGGUGGAGCAUGUGGCUUAAUUCGAGGCAACGCGAAGAACCUUACCUGGGUUUGACAUGUACGGAUGCCCCCCUGGAAACAGGGUGUGGUUGCCCUCGUGGUGAAACGUACACAGGUGCUGCAUGGCUGUCGUCAGCUCGUGCCGUGAGGUGUUGGGUUAAGUCCCGUAACGAGCGAAACCCCUAUCUUUAGUUGCCAGUUCCGAUUUAUCGGAAGGCACUCUAACGAGACUGCCGGCGUCAAGCCGGAGGAAGGUGGGGACGACGUCAAGUC
rnacentral:rRNA from 1 species